UUUUUUUGUUUUUUUUUUUUCCCUGUCAGAGCAGUAAAACUCUAGAACAGAUUCAAACAUCUGCCACUUGAGGUGUCCCAAAUUGAUCAGAAACUGUUCUUGCUCUUUCUCCCUGGGGUUACGGGUGGAGCCUGCAGGGCAGGAGGCGGUGCUGUCACUGUUGUGUGUGAUCACACACCGUUUGUGAUGUGCUGGUACAGGCAGCAGCUCUGCAGUUGCUGUCAGGACUCUGCACCUCUACAGUGAGAACAGUGCUGGCCCUCACCAACCACCACGUCUUGACCUCUCUCCCUUCCAACGUCUGGGUGUGCAGCAUACAUGGAGUGAGGAGGUUUUAUCUCUGCUCAAUUCUCUGUGGCAGAAGAAAAAAAGCCACAUAUGAAAAAAUGAAGAAGAGGGGAUUUAGAGACAGCUGGAAUUGCUAUUAAUCUUAUUUGUAGUUCUGUAUCUGAAAAUACUUAAUGCUGGGUGUUUCAUAAGCAGCAUCUUGGUCAAAUUUUCUUAAAUAUGAUGAAGUUACCUUAUUUUUCAGGAAGUAAACUUUGGGAAAACAUUUAAAUACAAAAAUCUGGUGACUGCUGGGCCAAUAUUCUCUUUAAGGAUGUGCUAAGGGCAGCCUGGGACAUCCCACAGAUUCACCAUUGCUGGUGGUGACUCUUAGUGCUACUUCACUGACCCUUUGUGCAAGGAGGAGUUUACCCACGGUCCCUGAAACCCUUCCAUGAAGGUGGAUGCUGAUGGGAACUUGCCAGGAUGCACCUGCAGCUGCCGUGACUUCCACCCCAGGAGCUGGAGGAGGUGAGCAAGGAGUGCUCCUGCAGCCCGAGUGCUCACCCGGAGGGUGCCCGCCUGGGAAGGCAGCGCUUGCAUUUGGCACUCCUCCCAUGCCAGGGGCUGUGCCCGUGCCACCCGGGAUCGCAGGAUCAGUCAGCAGAGGGCAGGAUCAGCCUUUGGGCAGGACUUUGCAGGAUAAGGAGCGGCUUCUUGCUGCUGGAGCAGCCUCCCCUCCCAGCCCGGAGAAGGCGGCGGGUGGCUGCUCACUGACAGUGCCACUGACACCUCCAGCGAUGGUGGCAGGGAUGUGGCUCCCGGGAGGAGCUGUGUGACUGUCCAGCUGCUCCUGCCAUACCCAGCCUUGCGCAGUUUUGUAUCUCCUGAGACUUGCAGAUUUCCCCUGAGCACACCAGCAGUGCUGGCUGGCUGCAUGUGCAGCUGAGGAGUGAUGGCUGAUCAAGAUACCCAAGCACUUCAUUUGUCCCUUGCUUUGGCAGAAGGCACAAGAUGCACAAAAUUUGUUGCUUAAGGAGUUCUUCAUGUGUGGACCUGGGGCAGUCUGUGCCUUGGCUUUGCUAUCAAGAGGGGUCAUUAUGCAGAUAUCAUUCGAAGGCCACUUUCUGGUUGGUUUGUUUGGGUAUUUUUUUUUUAAUUUUUAAGUACUUGAAAUACAUUCAAACAUCACAGCUGUAUCUCACAGGAAUUUCGAAGCUGGGAAAUGGAAGAUGUAAUGACAUUCAUAAUCUUCCUCCUGCCUGGCAAAAAAAGCACGUCUAGAUCUGGGUAACUGAGUCUGGCAGGUUCCCUGCAGGAAUGCAGGACCCUCCCCAGCGCAGUGAAACCCUUUGUAAAUCACCUGCUUCAAUUAACCACAUCAGUAGGUGUUUUUCUGGGACAGGCUCAUGUGUCGGUGCUAGAAAGGCCCACAGAUAACCAGUGAAAGCAGUGAAAAAUGGGAUUAUUGGCUGAUAAUAUUAAGUGCCUUUUAUCUUGGAUUUAAUUGAGAAAUUAAAUCCCAAACCUGCCACUAACCCUUCAGUACCUUUGGGAGGCUUUGUGGAGACGGUGCAGGGUCCCCUAUAUAUGGUUCCAGACCUUACAGAGAUUCUUCCUUAGUGCAUCUUCUGUGCUAUAGUGCUACUGCUAAGUGGGAAGGAUACCACUAUCAGUCUAAUACGAUAUCCUCUGGAAAUUUUCUCUCCCUGUAGUCUGUGCAGUGCAGCAGAGCUGAGGAGGUGUGGGAGGAGAGCUGUGUUGCCCGGGUUGGCUGCACCUUCCAGAGUGUAUCCUCACUGGGAGCUACAAGCUGCUGCUGCUACUCACCCUCUGAUCACUCAGGCAGGUGUGGGACCAAAAUGACAUUGGGGACUUCAAGGCUGUAGUCUCAACAAAAAGACAAAAGAUAUGAAAAUGUUAGCACAUUUGAAUCUGUAGGUUCCCCAUGGCAAACUGAGUUGGAUAAAGUUUGGUUAUCUGUGGCAGUGCCACUCUUCAGCACUUCUAAAUGCUCCUACAUCUCCUUGGGUGCCUUUCUUACGCUAAUAAACAAUUACUGGCCUUUUUUCCCUGUGAAAAAGGAGAUGAAAACGACAGUCCUUGCAGGCCUGGGUUUGUCUGUAACAGCAGUGCUGUGGCUGCUGUCGUCUUGCCUUAACACUUUUUGUGCUUGAGACUCUUACUGCGAUGUUUAGUCUGUCCAAGAAGGAAUCACAGCUUUCUGCAGGUUGUUUUCAUGUGCUGUGUCCUUCCCUUCGCUUUUAUUUUCCUUUUCAUGUUUUGCUUCACAAAGCAGCCUCACUGUUCACUGGUGUUCCCUGGCUGCUGAGCUCAGGUCAGUGGGAUGCUGAUGGGCAGCUCUUUGGAUGCUGGCACCCAGCCAGGCUCAUCAUCUUAGUAGGAAACUUUUGCUUCUGUCUAGAUAAGAAAUGGAGUCUGUGCUUUAGGGAGGGUUUUAUUUCUUGUCAAGUGACCAUCAGAGCACUCUCCUCCCUGGACAAACACUCUGCUUCUCAGAGCUGUUCCUGAUGUAGCAAAUGGAAGGCAGAAAUGGCUCUGCCUCAAGUGUUGGCCCCAGUCACUGGUGGGGGCUCUCCUGCCGUACCCAACCUGCUCUGAGGAACCACAGGGGCCAGGGGCUCCCCCCAGCAGCCAGGAUGAACCCGUCACUCUGUGACCAGCAUCGUUGUGUUACCUGUCCUGAAGGAGACCUAAUAA
ensembl:lncRNA